rnacentral:rRNA from 1 species
UGGGGAAUAUUGCACAAUGGGCGGAAGCCUGAUGCAGCAACGCCGCGUGAGUGAUGAAGGCCUUCGGGUUGUAAAGCUCUGUCUUUUGGGACGAUAAUGACGGUACCAAAGGAGGAAGCCACGGCUAACUACGUGCCAGCAGCCGCGGUAAUACGUAGGUGGCAAGCGUUGUCCGGAUUUACUGGGCGUAAAGGAUGCGUAGGCGGAUUUUUAAGUGAGAUGUGAAAACCCUAAGCUUAACUUGGGGACUGCAUUUCAUACUGGAAAUCUAGAGUGCGGGAGAGGAGAAUGGAAUUCCUAGUGUAGCGGUGAAAUGCGUAGAGAUUAGGAAGAACACCAGUGGCGAAGGCGAUUCUCUGGACCGUAACUGACGCUGAGGCAUGAAAGCGUGGGUAGCAAACAGGAUUAGAUACCCUGGUAGUCCACGCCGUAAACGAUGAGUACUAGGUGUAGGAGGUAUCGACCCCUUCUGUGCCGCAGUUAACACAAUAAGUACUCCGCCUGGGAAGUACGAUCGCAAGAUUAAAACUCAAAUGAAUUGACGGGGUCAUAGCUGUUUCC